AGCAGCCGCGGUAAUUCCAGCUCCAAUAGCGUAUAUUAAAGUUGUUGCAGUUAAAAAGCUCGUAGUUGAAUUUCGGGAUCAAUAUAUCGGUCGUGCCAUUGGUACGUACUGGUAUCAUUGGUUUCUUCUUUCUGACGAACCAUGAUGUCAUUAAUUUUGGUGUUAUGGGAAGUUAGGACUGUUACUUUGAAAAAAAGUUAGAGUGUUUAAAAGCAGGCUUUAGCUUGAAUACAUUAGCAUGGAAUAAUGAAAAUAGGACGUUCGAACCUAUUUUUGUUGGUUUCUAGGAUCAACGUAAUGAUUAAUAGGGAUAGUUGGGGGGCAUUAGUAUUCAAUUGUCAGAGGUGAAAUUCUUGGAUUUAUUGAAGACUAACUACUGCGAAAGCAUUUGCCAAGGAUGUUUUCAUUAAUCAAGAGCGAAAGUUAGGGGAUCGAAGACGAUCAGAUACCGUCGUAGUCUUAACCAUAAACUAUGCCGACUAGGGAUCGGAUGAUGUUAAUUUUUUCAAUGACUCAUUCG
rnacentral:rRNA from 1 species